GGAAGACUUUGGGGAGCUUACGAACCCGCUCUAAAACACACCUCAGCAUGCAGGAGUUAGCAGGGAAGACCUGGGCUCAAGGCAGAGUGAGAGAAUGUUCUAUGGGGGAAACCAAGGCCCCCAACAGAAGACAAGAUGGCGAGUGGUUCAGCAGCCACCGUAUGACCAUGAGGCAACAAGGGGGAGGAUGAAAGCCACAGGGCCCAGGAUGGUAACUCAGCAAGAGAGAAGGUAUCCUAAAAUCAGCUGCACUGGCCCUGAACUGACCACAUCUGGAUUUUGUAUGAGAGGUGAAAACUAAGCUCCAGAUAUUGAUGAAGACAUCGGCAUCAGUCCCUGCACCAAUGACAUCACCAGUGUACACCCUGACUUCGUACUUGUUACCUGGGAAUGAGGAGAGAGAAAGCCUCAGCUCAUUAGGUUCCUGAAAAGAGAAGAACAAAGGUCCCAAGGUAGCUACCACACCAUGUAUACUUCCCUCCAAUAGUGUCACCAUUGCUGUCAAGAACACUGUAAGAAACAAGUUGCCUGACAUUGAUACCAAACGGUCAUUGCUAGUAUAUAUGUGUAUCAAGUCAAUGCACUG